rnacentral:rRNA from 1 species
AUAGGGGAGCCGGAGGGAAACCGAGUCUUAAUUGGGCGUUAAGUUGCAGGGUAUAGACCCGAAACCCGGUGAUCUAGCCAUGGGCAGGUUGAAGGUUGGGUAACACUAACUGGAGGACCGAACCGACUAAUGUUGAAAAAUUAGCGGAUGACCUGUGGCUGGGGGUGAAAGGCCAAUCAAACCGGGAGAUAGCUGGUUCUCCCCGAAAGCUAUUUAGGUAGCGCCUCGUGAAUUCAUCUCCGGGGGUAGAGCACUGUUUCGGCUAGGGGGCCAUCCCGGCUUACCAACCCGAUGCAAACUGCGAAUACCGGAGAAUGUUAUCACGGGAGACACACGGCGGGUGCUAACGUCCGUCGUGAAGAGGGAAACAACCCAGACCGCCAGCUAAGGUCCCAAAGUCAUGGUUAAGUGGGAAACGAUGUGGGAAGGCCCAGACAGCCAGGAUGUUGGCUUAGAAGCAGCCAUCAUUUAAAGAAAGCGUAAUAGCUCACUGGUCGAGUCGGCCUGCGCGGAAGAUGUAACGGGGCUAAACCAUGCACCGAAGCUGCGGCAGCGACGCUGAUGCGUUGUUGGGUAGGGGAGCGUUCUGUAAGCCUGCGAAGGUGGCCUGUGAGGGUUGCUGGAGGUAUCAGAAGUGCGAAUGCUGACAUAAGUAACGAUAAAGCGGGUGAAAAGCCCGCUCGCCGGAAGACCAAGGGUUCCUGUCCAACGUUAAUCGGGGCAGGGUGAGUCGACCCCUAAGGCGAGGCCGAAAGGCGUAGUCGAUGGGAAACGGGUUAAUAUUCCCGUACUUGGUGUUACUGCGAAGGGGGGACGGAGAAGGCUAUGUUGGCCGGGCGACGGUUGUCCCGGUUUAAGCGUGUAGGUGUGUGUUCCAGGUAAAUCCGGUUCACUUUAACACUGAGGCGUGAUGACGAGGCACUACGGUGCUGAAGCAACAAAUGCCCUGCUUCCAGGAAAAGCCUCUAAGCAUCAGGUAACAUCAAAUCGUACCCCAAACCGACACAGGUGGUCAGGUAGAGAAUACCAAGGCGCUUGAGAGAACUCGGGUGAAGGAACUAGGCAAAAUGGUGCCGUAACUUCGGGAGAAGGCACGCUGACACGUAGGUGAAGUGAUUUACUCAUGGAGCUGAAGUCAGUCGAAGAUACCAGCUGGCUGCAACUGUUUAUUAAAAACACAGCACUGUGCAAACACGAAAGUGGACGUAUACGGUGUGACGCCUGCCCGGUGCCGGAAGGUUAAUUGAUGGGGUCAGCGCAAGCGAAGCUCCUGAUCGAAGCCCCGGUAAACGGCGGCCGUAACUAUAACGGUCCUAAGGUAGCGAAAUUCCUUGUCGGGUAAGUUCCGACCUGCACGAAUGGCGUAAUGAUGGCCAGGCUGUCUCCACCCGAGACUCAGUGAAAUUGAACUCGCUGUGAAGAUGCAGUGUACCCGCGGCAAGACGGAAAGACCCCGUGAACCUUUACUAUAGCUUGACACUGAACAUUGAGCCUUGAUGUGUAGGAUAGGUGGGAGGCUUUGAAGUGUGGACGCCAGUCUGCAUGGAGCCGACCUUGAAAUACCACCCUUUAAUGUUUGAUGUUCUAACGUGGACCCGUGAUCCGGGUUGCGGACAGUGUCUGGUGGGUAGUUUGACUGGGGCGGUCUCCUCCUAAAGAGUAACGGAGGAGCACGAAGGUUGGCUAAUCCUGGUCGGACAUCAGGAGGUUAGUGCAAUGGCAUAAGCCAGCUUGACUGCGAGCGUGACGGCGCGAGCAGGUGCGAAAGCAGGUCAUAGUGAUCCGGUGGUUCUGAAUGGAAGGGCCAUCGCUCAACGGAUAAAAGGUACUCCGGGGAUAACAGGCUGAUACCGCCCAAGAGUUCAUAUCGACGGCGGUGUUUGGCACCUCGAUGUCGGCUCAUCACAUCCUGGGGCUGAAGUAGGUCCCAAGGGUAUGGCUGUUCGCCAUUUAAAGUGGUACGCGAGCUGGGUUUAGAACGUCGUGAGACAGUUCGGUCCCUAUCUGCCGUGGGCGCUGGAGAACUGAGGGGGGCUGCUCCUAGUACGAGAGGACCGGAGUGGACGCAUCACUGGUGUUCGGGUUGUCAUGCCAAUGGCACUGCCCGGUAGCUAAAUGCGGAAGAGAUAAGUGCUGAAAGCAUCUAAGCACGAAACUUGCCCCGA